rnacentral:rRNA from 1 species
AUUGAACGCUGGCGGCAGGCUUAACACAUGCAAGUCGAGCGAGCGGCGGACGGGUGAGUAAUGUCUGGGAAACUGCCUGAUGGAGGGGGAUAACUACUGGAAACGGUAGCUAAUACCGCAUACCAUCAGAUGUGCCCAGAUGGGAUUAGCUAGUAGGUGGGGUAAUGGCUCACCUAGGCGACGAUCCCUAGCUGGUCUGAGAGGAUCACCGCCCAACCUGGAACUGAGACACGGUCCAGACUCCAACGGGGGGCAGAGGUGGGGAAUAUUGCACAAGGGGCGCAAGCCUGAUGCAGCAAUGCGGCGUGUGUGAAGAAGGCCUUCGGGUUGUAAAGCACUUUCAGCGAGGAGGCGUUACUCGCAGAAGAAGCACCGGCUAACUCCGUGCCAGCCGCCGCGGUAAUAC